ensembl:snoRNA SNORD73 Small nucleolar RNA SNORD73
AAUAUAUGAUGAAAAAAAUGUUUCGGUCCCAGAUGAUGUCCAGUGAUAACUCGGCAUUUUUCUGAUGUU